rnacentral:pre_miRNA from 1 species
UGGACAGAUUAUUGUAGUCGACUGUAUUCACGACGUGAAACAGGGGAUUACACUGUUUUAAACGGAAAGUGAAUCAAUUAACAUAAUAGACUCCU